UACGUAGGGAGCAAGCGUUGUCCGGAAUCAUUGGGCGUAAAGCGCACGUAGGCGGCCCUGUAAGUCCGCUGUAAAAGUCAAAGGCUCAACCUUUGAAAGCCGGUGGAUACUGCAGGGCUAGAGUCCGGAAGAGGCGAGUGGAAUUCCUGGUGUAGCGGUGGAAUACGCAGAUAUCAGGAGGAACACCAAUAGCGAAGGCAGCUCGCUGGGACGGUACUGACGCUAAGGUGCGAAAGCGUGGGGAGCGAACAGG
rnacentral:rRNA from 1 species